rnacentral:rRNA from 1 species
GUCCUUUAGGUAAUUAUAAUUUAAGGUCUAACCUGCCCAUUGAUAAAUUAAAAGGCCGCAGUAAUUUGACUGUGCAAAGGUAGCAUAAUCAUUAGUUUUUUAAUUAAAAGCUUGUAUGAAUGGUUGGACGAGAUAAAAUCUGUCUCUUAAUAAAAAAUAGAAUUUAAUUUUUAAGUUAAAAAGCUUAAAUUUUAAUAAAAGACGAGAAGACCCUAUAGAUCUUUAUAAAAAUUUUUUUAAUAUUAAUAUAGAUGAUUUUAUUUAUUAUAUAGAUUUUUAUUUUAUUGGGGUAAUAAAAAGAUUAAAAAAAUUCUUUUUUAUUUGACAAAAAUUAUUGAUUUUAUGAUCCAUUAUUAGUGAUUUAAGAUUAAGUUACCUUAGGGAUAACAGCGUAAUUUUUUUUAAGAGUUCUUAUCGAUAAAAAAGUUUGCGACCUCGAUGUUGGAUUAAAAGUAAUCUUAGGUGCAGAAGUUUAAGAUUUUGGUCUGUUCGACCAUUAAAUUUUUACAUGAUCUGAGUUUAGACCGGCGUAAGCCAGGUUGGUUUCUAUCUUUAUUAGUUUAAUAUAUUUUAGUACGAAAGGACCAAAUAUAUAGUAUAUUUAUAUUUAUUUUUUGAAUAU